rnacentral:tRNA from 2 species
GACUCGGUAGCUCAGCUGGAUAGAGCAACGGCCUUCUAAGCCGUCGGUCAGGCGUUCGAAUCGCCUCCGAGUCGCCA